AGACACAAACACACACACCUGUGGGUAAGAAAGAAGGAAGGAAAAAGAAGAGAAAAGGGAAAGGAAAAAUAAGUUUCACAGGAAACUGAAAUAUUAAUAAUCUCAUGAAUGACUGUUCUACAUUUGGUAAAUAAGAGAGCAGAGAAGCAACUGCUGAAUUGUGAAACCUUACAGUGGAAAGGUAUAUCAAUACACAAACAAUAAUAUAAUGCAAUUGCAGUGCAAUGACUAAUCUUUUAGGUUUGUAGGAAAGAAACUCAGAUUAUAAUCCACACAGAAGGCGUGUGACUUCAUUCUUUGCUAGGGAUGCAAAUAGUCCACAAUAUCUUCACAUAGAGAAAUUGUUUGCUGCUACAUUAUUGUUUAAAAUCUUGUUUACAGGACCUUUAAUCAAAUUAAAUGUAUAUGAAUAUGAGUUUUUAAUUUGCUUGUGUUUUGCUGAUUUACAUAUAUUCUGUAUGUAAGCUGCUGAGCUCUCAGCCACCGUACAGGUUAAAUACUUGCUCCCUAGGGAUAAAAGCUACUUGCAAAACCUAUGCAGGGACUUCCACAAUAAAUUAGGUUAUACUGAUCUGUUA